GAUGAAGAACGUAGCGAAAUGCGAUAAGUAAUGUGAAUUGCAGAAUUCAGUGAAUCAUCGAAUCUUUGUACGCACCUUGCGCCCUUUGGCCAUUCCGAAGGGCAUGCCUGUUUGAGUAUCAUGAACACCUCAACUCUUUAUGGUUUUCCAUGAUGAGCUUGGACUCUGGGGGUUUUGCUGGCUCACAGUCGGCUCCUCUAAAAUGAAUCAGCUUACCAGUGUUUGGUGGGUAUCAUGGGUGUGAUAACUAUCUACGCUUGUGGUUUUUCCACCAGGUAACCUUCAGCAGUGGAGGUUCGCUGGAGCUCAUAGAUGUCUCUCCUCAGUGAGGACAGCCCUUUGAAUGUUUGAUCUCAAAUCAGGUAGGACUACCCGCUGAACUUAAGCAUAUCAAUAAGCGGAGGA
rnacentral:misc_RNA from 1 species